GGGGGUGAUACGGUUUCGACGGGAUGCGUGGAGACCGGAUUGCGUGCCGAGGAUGCCGGUUGGCCUCGUUAAUCAUCCGGUAAAAAAGUAAUUGCGAACAGCGAUUAUAGACUCGCGGCCUGAUUACGGCCCCGAUGUCGCCCUGGCCAACGCCUGCUAGGCCUUGUGCGGCAUAACUUCCGCAGGACGUGUUUGGGGGCCUGACACCUGGGCGCCCAGGCAUGUACAAUCGGGUGCGGGGAAGCGGAUAAGCCCGGCCGUCGGCAUACCGCUUCCGGGAUCAAAGGCGGCAUAUGCGCGUAGACGUUCGGCCAAAGCCUUUCCGGACGGGGGUUCGACUCCCCCCACCUCCACCA
rnacentral:tmRNA from 1 species